GUAGAUGACGAGGUUGAUCGGCCUGAGGUGUAAGCAUAGCAAUAUGUUCAGCUGACAGGUACGAAUCGGUCGAGGGCUUAACCUA
rnacentral:rRNA from 1 species